UACGUAGGGUGCAAGCGUUGUCCGGAAUUAUUGGGCGUAAAGAGCUCGUAGGCGGUUUGUCGCGUCUGCUGUGAAAACCUAAGGCUCAACCUUGGGCUUGCAGUGGGUACGGGCAGACUAGAGUGCGGUAGGGGUGACUGGAAUUCCUGGUGUAGCGGUGGAAUGCGCAGAUAUCAGGAGGAACACCGAUGGCGAAGGCAGGUCACUGGGCCGCAACUGACGCUGAGGCGCGACAGCGUGGGGAGCAAACAGG
rnacentral:rRNA from 1 species